CGGAGCGCCCGUCUGCGCGCAAUCGCCCCAAGCUAGGGGCUCCCCAAAACGCAGGAGACUGACUUCAGAAACCCUCACUGGCCCCGUUCACCAUGCCGGUUGCUGCCACGAACUCUGAGUCUGGUCUCCCAGACUCUGGUGACAGCAGUGGGCCCUCUUCAUAGACACACACCUUCAUCCAUGCUCCAAAGUCUGCACCCCAUCCCAGUGGUUCCUGGGUCCUCGAGUGUUUCCCAAGACCCACCAGGUUAAGGUUCCAUGUCCAGAGGCUCUGAAAGGGUUCUGGCUACAGCUAUGAGAGUCCCUGAGAGAUCUGAAUUCUUCACAACGGAUCCUGCUGCUCCCUCUGCAAGACACUCCAGGCUCUCCCUUUGGAUGCAUUCUUGUCCCUACCCACUGAGAAAGUGAAAAUUGCUGUGUGUCAGCCAGAAGCUAAGCUGUGACCCCUUUGACCCCCAGAAAGGGCCCCUUUUCCAUGGCUCAUAAUGUCCCCCCUGUUUCCUGGAGGGAUCAUGAUUUUUCUCUUGCCAUGUGGCCUCUCGCCCCUGCUCCACCGAUCAGGUACCCCACUCUAAGCUGCUUAGGAGUUAAUGAGACCCAUCCCUGAUCCUGUGAUUAAAAGGCCUUUCAUCUG
rnacentral:lncRNA from 1 species